UCAGUGCUCUUAACCGCUGAGCCAUUUCUCCAGCCCUAAAGGUUUAUUUUCAAAAAUAUAUUUUGAAAUGUACAAAAUCUCCAGAUUUUCUUGUAUCUAUCUAUGUAUCGAUGUAUCAUGUAUCUAUGUAUCUAUGUAUCUAUGUAUCUAUCUGUGUAUCUAUGUAGCUAGAUAUCUAUUUUGGUGAGGAGAGAACAACCAGGGGGAGCCAGUUUCUCUUUCUACUAUAGAGUGCCUGGGGAUCAAGCUCAGGUGGUCAGGCUUGGCAGUUACCGCCAUUACCUGCUGAGGCGCCUUGGUAGCCCUCUACGUUGUUUUUAAAUGAUUCUGUAUGAAAUUUCCGAAUGGGUGAGCUGACUGUCUUUCCAUUUAAUGACUUUGAGCGAAGUCUGGUCAGGUCACUUGCCUUGCCUCCUUGCUCUACUCCUGAGUAGUGUUUUUAAAAACUACUACAUUCAUUUAUUUUUCACAUUUACUUAGUGCAUGUGCAGACAGGGGUUCAGAGGAGAGCAUGGAAGAGUCCGUUCUCUCCUACCAUCAAGUCUGGAGGCAGCAGACACCUUUAUUUACUGAGCCAUCGCGCUGGACCAGUGACUAUAUAUAGAUAUAGAUAUGUAGAUAUAUAUUUGCCUGUAUGUAUGCAUUUUUCCUUUUUAUCUUUUUUAGUUUUUAUUUUAUGCGUAUGGGUGGUUUUGCCCACAUAUAGGUCUGUACAUCAACUGUGUUCCUGGUACCCACGGAGGGCCGAAGACAGUGUCAGAUCUUCUUAGGCUGGAGUUGCAGACUAUUUUGAGUUGCCAUGUGAUGUUCCACAGCCCUAGAGAACUCUGCCUUCUGCAGCAGGCUUAGUGCCAGUCCCUGGAGUGAUCAGUCAGGACAUCAAAGAUUGGAUGAACAUCCCUCUACCCAGGAAAAAUCCUCUCUAUCAGUUGGUCCAGAUGUAUGGCUUUUGGCGAACUUGUGCCAGGCUCACAGUGGUACUUGGUUCAGGCUCUCAGACUGAAAUUCCAUCUCCCCUUGUGCAAAAGUGGCAAAAACCCCUCUGUAGUUCUGCCUUCUGUAUGUUCAUCCAUGUACAUCCAGAUAUCCAUCCCCUGGGUGAGCCAGGCCCUGCUGGGGUAUGGAGAGGUAGGUGGCACUACUGUGGGCUCAGAAGCUUCCAUUUACCAGACAUGAAAAUCCAGAGACCGGGAGCCCCGGAUAACAGGCUUUUAUUCCUGAUUCUGGAAGCCAAAAGAUAAAAGGUCUACGGGACUAUAGUCCUUCAGAGGUACCAGAAGCAUCUGUGUCUGGACCCUGUCCACCUUCUCGUAGCUUUCUGGCCUAGGACAGUGUCACUCCAGUCUGCCCAUGGCCUUGGCUCUGUGCUUCUGUGCCCAAGUUCCCCUUUUAUAAGAAUACUUAUACUGGAUAAGGGUCUAUCCUACUCCAACAUGACCUUGUCCUAACUCCUUAGCUAACUGCAUCUGCAGAAGCCUUGUUUCCAAAUAAGGUCACAUUCUGAGAUCCUAGGAGUCGUGUCUUGGCCCAGUGAGUUUGGAAAGAGAGGAGCUUGGUUCAGACCCUAAUGUAGGUUGCUACAUCUUUACAAAACACUUCCACAUGACCUCACCUGAGGGCUUCCAGGUCACUUCAGCCUGAGUCACAGCCAUAGGUUCCUGAAAGAGCUCACAGGGUGAUAAUAGGAGCCUGAGUACCCUAAUGUGGUUCUUUGGAAAAUGCUUGAGCAGUACCCAGCCACGCAGCAAACCGGGUGUGGAGGAUACAGGCAGAGCUGGCAAACCCACCAGCAACAGACGCAUGACAAAAAGACCCUUUCCCUGUCCACCCCAUGAAGUGCUGAGCAGACAGCAGAAAGCGUGUUUCCAAGAUAACCCGGAAUAGGAUAGGCUUGAGGAGAACUGUAAACCAGCACAUUCACAGCUGGUCACUGUGCUUGCCCUGCAGGAAGAAGGGUGGCAUAGGCCAACUCUAUCUCUUUGGUCCAUGUAAGUGAUGUAUGGAUGAAGGUAUAGAUCACUCAACAUUCUCUGUCAGACAGAAAAUGGAGAAUGGAGCUACAUUAACCAUAUCCAUCAAAUGCGUAUCCUCCCUGGAAAUUCAGGCCUGUCAAAAGGCCAGUGCACAUGCCUUGCCAGGCGACGGGGCCUGUUCAUAGAAACAGCUCCUGUGCUCUAAGGGCCACCACCACCAGGACUAAGAUGCGAUCACAGGACUCACUUACGGAGUGGCAUGUGCACCCCUCACUCCACCUCCUGCCCUUAUGUUCACGUUCACAACAGAUGGCAGAGUUACAGCAAAAAAAAA
rnacentral:sRNA from 1 species